UACGGAGGGGGCUAGCGUUGUUCGGAAUUACUGGGCGUAAAGCGCACGUAGGCGGCUUUGCAAGUCAGAGGUGAAAGCCCGGGGCUCAACCCCGGAAUUGCCUUUGAGACUGCAUCGCUAGAAUUGUGGAGAGGUAAGUGGAAUUCCGAGUGUAGAGGUGAAAUUCGUAGAUAUUCGGAAGAACACCAGUGGCGAAGGCGGCAUCCUGGACCGACAUUGACGCUGAGGAGCGAAAGCUAGGGGAGCAAACGGG
rnacentral:rRNA from 1 species